rnacentral:misc_RNA from 1 species
GAAAUGCGAUAAGUAAUGUGAAUUGCAGAAUUCAGUGAAUCAUCGAAUCUUUGAACGCACAUUGCGCCCGCCAGUAUUCUGGCGGGCAUGCCUGUCCGAGCGUCAUUUCAACCAUCAAGCCCCCGGGCUUGUGUUGGGGACCUGCGGCUGCCCGCAGGCCCUGAAAACCAGUGGCGGGCUCGCUGUCACACCGAGCGUAGUAGCAAUCACCUCGCUCAGGGCGUGCGGCGGGUUCCGGCCGUUAAACAGCCUUACAAAACCCAAGGUUGACCUCGGAUCAGGUAGGAAGACCCGCUGAACUUAAGC